rnacentral:rRNA from 1 species
CGCCCGUCGCUACUACCGAUUGGGUGUGCUGGUGAAGUGUUCGGAUUGGCGGCAGUCGGCGGUUUCCGCUGACUGCAGCCGAGAAGUUCAUUAAACCCUCCCACCUAGAGGAAGGAGAAGUCGUAACAAGGUUUCC